rnacentral:rRNA from 1 species
UGGGGGAUAUUGCACAAUGGGGGAAACCCUGAUGCAGCGACGCCGCGUGAGGGAAGAAGGUUUUCGGAUUGUAAACCUCUGUCUUCGGUGACGAAAAUGACGGUAGCCGAGGAGGAAGCCACGGCUAACUACGUGCCAGCAGCCGCGGUAAUACGUAGGUGGCAAGCGUUGUCCGGAAUUACUGGGUGUAAAGGGAGCGUAGGCGGGGAUACAAGUUGAAUGUUAAAACUAUGGGCUCAACCCAUAGUUGCGUUCAAAACUGUAUUUCUUGAGUGAAGUAGAGGUAAGCGGAAUUCCUAGUGUAGCGGUGAAAUGCGUAAAUAUUAGGAGGAACACCAGUGGCGAAGGCGGCUUACUGGGCUUUAACUGACGCUGAGGCUCGAAAGCGUGGGUAGCAAACAGG